CAGCACCUCAAGUGGUCAGGAUGAUUAUUGGGCCUAAAGCAUCCGUAGCCGGCGCUGUAAGUUUUCGGUUAAAUCUGUACGCUCAACGUACAGGCUGCCGGGAAUACUGCAGCGCUAGGGAGUAGGAGAGGUAGACGGUACUCGGUAGGAAGGGGUAAAAUCCUUUGAUCUAUUGAUGACCACCUGUGGCGAAGGCGGUCUACCAGAACACGUCCGACGGUGAGGGAUGAAAGCGGGGGGAGAAAACCGGAUUAGAUACCCGAGUAGUCC
rnacentral:rRNA from 1 species